CGGACAAGCAAGGUGUUAUUCGGCAGUCUGAUCCUGGACCUGCUCGGCUUGAAGGUGGUGCUGCCCGUGUCUCCUGCUCUCCUCGACUGUUACUCCAAGCACAACACCAGCGGCUUGUAUUCCUCUCAGCUCUCCUGUGUGACUUAUUACCAGCAUAUCAUCGGUUUCGCUGCAAGGUUCCAUUCUGUCUUGUUUGGUAAUUAAGUGGGUUUGUUGUGUUUUGUAUUGGUUUAUAUAUUUUUAGCUUGUUUUUAUUAUUAUUUUUUCAAUUUUUUUAUCCUAUUAUCUAUUUAUUUAUUUUUUGUUUGUUUGUUUGUUUACAGGGUGUGUGUGUGUUUGUUUGUGUUCCUGCUGUUCAAUAUUGCAGCUUGUUUUCUUUAUUAUUGUUAUUUUGUGUUUUAUUCUAUUUCAGUGUUCUGAGGGAGUCUUCAGGUGUUUUUGGGGUGUUUUGGGGUGUUUCUGGAGUGUUUUGGGGUGUUUUUGGUGUGUUGUGAAGUGUUUUGAUGUGUUUUGGGGUGGUUAAGGGGUGUUUUGUGGUGUUGUGGAGGUGUUUUGGGAUUUUUGGUGUGUUUUAAAGUGUUUUGGGAUGUUUUUGGAAUGUUUUGAUGUGUUUUGAGAUGUUUAGGAGUAUUUUUGGAGUAUUUUGGUGUGUUUUUUGGAGUGUUUUGGGAUGUGUUUGUAGUGUUUUGGGGUGUUUUGGGGUAUUUUGAAGGUGUUUUGGUGUGUUUUUGGAGUGUUUUGGGGUGUGUUUGUAGUGUUUUGGGGUGUUUUGGGGUAUUUUGAAGGUGUUUUGGUGUGUUUUUGGAGUGUUUUGGGGUAUUUUGGGAUGUUUUGGUGUGUUUUGGGUUAUUUUGAGAGUGUUUUGGUGUGUUUUUGGAGUGUUUCUGGGUGUUUUGGAGUAUUUUGAGGGUGUUUAAAGGUGUUGUGGUAGUUUAAAAUAUAUUGUUAGUUUACUUUUUUUUUACUUUUUAUUUUCUUAUGCAUUAUUUUAUUUCUUAUUUAUAUUGUGGUGUGUUGUCGGUGUGUCCUAACCUAACCUAACCAGCCUACCCUCUCCUAACCUCCCCUCAACCCACAGGCACUGAUUGGCGUGACAUUCAGCAUAGGCUUCACCGUCGGGCACACUGUGGGGGCUGCGUUCUCCCGCUGGGGAAGUACUGGGUGGUUCGCGGCCUCGGCUGUCUACGCACGCACUCUCACUGUGGCUAACAUAAUAUUCUUUGCUGUCUUCUUCCAGGAAUCGCUGCCUGAGGGCAGAAGGAGGAGGGACAUCGGUGCCAGUUUGACCGAGGCUUGGGAGGUGAUCAAUCCUAGGGCUCUGUUCUCCGUCAGCUGUGUCAAGGGCCUGGGCAGAGAAGCCUGGAGUUAACGCUGAUCUUCGCAACCCACCACAAGCAUAGUUACGACUCGUUGGCGCAGGACCGCAAGUUUUCCUUCCUGGGCCUGGUCAUGGCAAUUACACAGAGAGGGUUUAUGCGAAGUGUUAAGACUGGAACUGAAAAAGCAACUGCCAAUUAGGCACACACCUACAUUGUGAUGCAGCUCCUUGGAGGUGGAGAGCUGGCUGCCUCAGAGGAUCGGGAAACACGAGAGGUUCACAGAGGCUCGCCUCGGGCUUCGGUCGUCGUGAGGAACCUGGUGUCAGCAGUUCACUACGUGCACAGGAAAAGCAUCAGUGUUCACGGAGACCUAAAGCCAGACAGGGGUGAAAAGGGUUGGUGUUGAGGAUAGACAGAAAAGAAAAGAAAAGAAAGGAAAGGUAAAAAAAGGAAGUUUUUUUGCAUUGAUUUUCCAUCUGCUUAUUUUAAAGAAUUUAUUGCAUGGAAUAUUAUUGAUCUCCAUCAUUUGUAUGGCCUUUAUAAUAAAAAGUAUGAAUUUA